rnacentral:rRNA from 1 species
UACAUGGGGUGCAAACGUUGCUCGGAAUUAUUGGGCGUAAAGAGCUCGUAGGCGGUCUGUCGCGUCGGAUGUGAAAACCCAGGGCUCAACCCUGGGCCUGCAUUCGAUACGGGGCAGACUAGAGUUCGGUAGGGGAGACUGGAAUUCCGUGGUGUAGCGGUGGAAUGCGUAGAGAUGUGGAGGAACACCAAAGGGCGAAGGCAGUGUCCUGGGGAGUACCUGACGCGUCAGGUGACGGAAAGCCCAGGGGAGGCGAACGGG